UUGGUUUAGGAACAGACAUGUGACCCAUCCUGACCAAUGAAACAUGAGAGGAAGAGUUCUAAAGGGUUUCUGGGAAAGGUUUCCUAUUUUAAAGACAGAGGCAAGGAGGAGAUUCUGUUUGAGCUCUGGAUUUUGUCCAGUCUGUAUGGGACACCAGGAACAAUUUGCAACUAUCUUGUGAUCUCAAGGAAACCCAGCCCAAGGAGCAAGUCCACAUGCCAAAGCUGGUGGAGAGGAGAAAAGGAAAGAACUGGAAUCUUUGGUGACACUGGUAAUCUACUCUGACAGUCAUCUCUGGAAUCCACUCUUCCACUGAGCCUUCUCCUAUGUGAUGUCACCACAGAGCAUUCUAGAGUUUAUUGAGUGCUUACCAUGAAUUCCAGACACUGUCCAUACAUCUGCUGCUGCUAAGUCGCCUCAGUCGUGUCCAACUCUGUGCGACCCCAUGGACUGCAGCCUACCAGGCUUCUCCGUCCCUGGGAUUCUCCAGGCAAGAACACUGGAGUGGGUUGCCAUUUCCUUCUCCAAUGCAUGAAAGUGAAAAGUGAAAGUGAAGUCGCUCAGGCAUGUCCAACCCUCAGCGAUCCAAUGGACUGCAGCCCUCCAGGCUCCUCCAUCCAUGGGAUUUUCCAGGCAAGAGUACUGGAAUGGAGUGCCAUUGCCUUCAGCAUAGUGCUGAACACACCAUUUCCUCCAUUUUGAAGGGAACUCAGGCCUAUCACGGUGCCUGGCACAUAAAAGACAUUCCUACAUGUUUGGAUCAAUGAAGCAACUUGUUCAAGUCACAGCUCUAGCAAGGGGCAAAGGGACACUCCAGGCCAGGGCUCUCAGCCCAGUGCUGCUGCUUCUAUGUCACCAUCUCUAUCUUCAGUCACUCAAGUGAGGCUGAUUCUCCAAGGAGGCUGGAGUGGGAGUGGGAGGAGCGUGUGGAUUUACGGAUGGGGAAGUGUUAGAUCUUCCUGCAUCCAGAGUUCUUGCAUUGCCAGGUAUGUUCAAAUAAAUAAUGCCCCCCUCCUCCAAUAUAUGUAGGUCUUCAUCCUCACAACUUGUGAAUGUCACCUUCCUUAUAUUCACCUUUGAAUGUCACUUCCCAGGUGGCACCAGUGGUAAAGAAUCCACCUGUCAAUGCAGGAGAUGCAGGUUCCAUCCCUGUGUUGGGAAGAUCCCCUGGAGAAGGAAAUGGCAACCUACUCCAGUAUUCUUGCCGGGAAAGUCCCAUAGGCAGAGGAGCCUGGUGGGCUACAGUCCAUGGGGUCACAAAGAGUUGAACAUGACAGCACACACAGACACACACUGUCAUAAUCCAGAUGCGAUUAAGUUAAAUUUAGCCCAGAUGUGGUUAAGGAUCUCAAGGCAGGAAGAUUAUCUUGGAUUAUCCAGGUGGGCUCCAAACACAAUCACAUGUGUCCUUUGAAGAGGGAGGCAGAGGGAGAUUUGACACACAGAGAAGAGGAGGCGAUGUGAUUGCGGAGGUGAGAGAUUGGAUUGGUGCAGCCACAAGCCCGUGAUUGCCACUGGAAGCUGGAAGAGGCAAGGAAUGGAUUCUUUCCUUCCUCAGAGUCCCUGGAGGGAGAGCCACUCUCCCCAUUCCUUGAUUUCAGCCCAAGGAUACUGAGUUCAGAAUUCUGGUUUCCAGAACCUCGAGAGAAUAAAUUUCCAUUGUUUGAAGAGACCCAGUUUAUGGCGACUUAAUACGGCAGCCACAGGAAACUGAUACACCUGCUUUGGGGGAUGGCUCAGAAACACCUCCGGGUCUGCAGUCCUCUGACCUCUGCCGUCUGGGGGACCAAGAAGGGGUUCCUGUGGCCCCUGUGCCUGAAGCAGAAACAGAGGAGGCCGAGCUGCACCUGUGUCGGUCGGAAAGUUAUUUUGAUGGGGACCGUUUUUAAUAUAUUUAUUGAAUUUUUUACAAUAUGGCUUCUGUAUUAUAUUUUGGUGUUUUGGCUGUGAGGCAUGUGGGAUCUUAGUUCCCCGACCAAGCGUUGAACCCGUACCCCCUACACUGGAAGGCAAAGUCUUAACCACUGGACUGCCAGGGCAGUUCCUGAAAGAGGUUCCAGGAAUCAGACAUUGAAAGGCAUACGUCCAGAAAUCCUCACUGGGCACCUGCUAUGUGGCAGACCAGCUGGGACCACAGAUCUAACAUGACUUGGAAUUGGGUCUGGGUUGCCCUGAGACCAGGCUGCAGGCUGAGCUGCUGGGGUGCAGGAAACCCCAGGCCCAUCCUACUGACCUUGCUCCGGGGUCAGGUGUGGGGGCAGGAAGGGCCUGGAACCUGAAAUCUGAAUCUGAAAGCAGAUGUCAGGAUUUUUCCUCCCAAGGAGGGUGUUUGGCUCAGGUUUCUUGGGAAGUGGAGACAACGGAGGUGGAGGAACGUGGCCUGGAGUCUUGCCGGACCUGGAAGGAAGUGUACACGGUCAAGCGUGGAGGUGCCAAGCCCCAGGAGGCCUGGUGGGCUCGCAGCCGAGGUGUGGGGCAUGGGCGCUGGACAACCACAGGCAGGGGCUGCCGGCGUGGAGCGCACCCGCCGCCUCUCCAGGGACAGACGGGGCUCCCUGGAGCUGUGGUCUGUGGUCACUUCUGUGCCUGCUCUGUCCGCGGGGCGGGAGGGCUGUCCCUGGAGACGGAGGGGCCUCUGGGCCUCUCCACCACUGCCGGGCCUUGACCCUGGGCCUGCGAGUUUCUGG
ensembl:lncRNA